rnacentral:snRNA from 1 species
GUGCUCACUUCAGCAGCACAUACACUAAAAAAAAAAUUAGAAUGAUACAGAGAUUAGCAUGGUCCCUGUGCAAGGAUGACAUGCAAAUUUGUGAAGCGUUCCAUAUUUAA